rnacentral:tRNA from 1 species
AGAGACUUAGGUUACAACUAGACCAAGAGCCUUCAAAGCCCUAAGCAAACAGCUAUGUUUAGUCUCUG